GUACUUGUCGUCAUCGAUACUUUUAUAAAAAUAGUAUUUCGUAAACGACUAGCUAAAACUAUACUCUAUUCAACUCGUCAAAUGAAUUCGGGACAUACGUUAAAACGUAACAAAAAAAUCCCUGUAACGAACAAAAAAUGACUGCGACCUAUAAAAAAAAGUCACUUCCGCGGCUGUGAACGUGGGAUCUGUCCCCCAUCGUGAAGCCCGUGGACAAUCGACGUAACCACUCUCUCGUGCCUUUUACCGCACUUGUACGGAUCCCGGACGAAGUGUAACGAUGCCGAGAGAUCGAUAAUAACCGCCGCGGUUUGGUUCCACCCGAGCCUCGUACGAGACAGGGACACUUUUUUCCUCCCCCCCCUCUCGACGAUCCUGCUAUCUCUCUCUUUAUCUGGCCAGCUUUCGUCAUCUCUCCUCCCGUUCCUCCUCGUGGCG
rnacentral:misc_RNA from 1 species